rnacentral:hammerhead_ribozyme from 1 species
AUCCAGCUGACUAGUCCCAAAUAGGACGAAGCGCGCGUCCUGGAU